GGAGAGGUGCCAGAGUGGUCGAAUGGGGCGGUCUCGAAAACCGUUGAGCCUUCACGGGUUCCCAGGGUUCGAAUCCCUGUCUCUCCGCCA
rnacentral:tRNA from 5 species